GUUUUGUUUCUGGAACACCAUAUUAUGCGUCCCGUCGGACGUAUGCAAAUUAUUUAACGGCCAACGGCCGUGCGGUGUUCUGUGGACUGUGAUAACUGACAACUGAUAAGUAUUAUUACGAAGUAAUGUGAAAAUGGUUUUAUAAAAGUAAUGAUUAAUAAAUUAAAUUAAAUUAAAUUAAUAAAAUCAAGUAGUAUUAUGAAAAUAUUUAAGUAAAUAUUAUCUUGUGGCGGACAACGGCAUUCACAUUCACAUUUAUAUUCAUAAUAUCAUGUUUAAUGUUAUAGUACAUGACAGUUAAUUAAAUAAAACUAACACCAGCAAAAUCCACGUGCCGAUCCUAUCAAAGGAGCCAACAUUGUAUAUAGAAGGAACUGCAGGAACACGGCAUAAUAUUCAGAUGUACCAUAGCCGCUAUUCGCCAAGACCAGAGCUACAUCACCCCACACUCAGCCACGUACACUUUUAUAUGAUUACUACUUGAAAUAUAUUUCUAGAAUAAACAACUAUUUCAUUUUACUAUUCUAAUUGCACGAAAUCCCGAAUGUUGAAUAGUCUACGAGUUACUACACAUAUGUCGCAUAGUGUACACUGCGUAUUGGAUGUUUCACUCGUGUGUAGUUAAAACACUUCAUCGCCUGGAUCAUUAGCAAAGCUGAACAUAAUUGGCUCAGUCAAUAAAGGAUUUACAAAAAAGGCAAACCAGCAGUAUUGCUCACUGACAAUUCUGUGCAUGAGAUCCAAACAACAACAAUGUAGCAGCACUGUUAUUAUCAACAUUUUAAUUUACAAAGAUAUAAAGGAUGUUUUGAUAUCUACCACACGUUCUUACACUAGAUGUGUCAUUGAAACAUUCAGCUACUCAUAUUCUCGCCAUAUAAUCUACAGAGAUCUGAAACAUAAAAAUUGAACAUCACUGGUUGUGUGAAAUUUGACGAUUUUGCUUUUGCCAUAAAACCAAAAAAGAGAAGAGAAACAAGGAAGUUCUAUAGAACACCAGAAUACAUUACACCUGAUCUAUUUUCAACAGAGUUCAUGAUUUAUUUGGAGUACUUAUGUUUGAAUUGAAUUACUGUAAAAAAAAGCCCAAGGAAAAAAUAUUACCUAGUAGCAAAAA